rnacentral:rRNA from 1 species
CAGUCGCCACGGUAAAACGGAGGGUGCAAGCGUUAAUCGGAAUUACUGGGCGUAAAGCGUGCGUAGGCGGUUCGUUAAGUCUGUUGUGAAAGCCCCGGGCUCAACCUGGGAAUGGCAAUGGAUACUGGCGAGCUAGAGUGUGUCAGAGGAUGGUGGAAUUCCCGGUGUAGCGGUGAAAUUCGUAGAUAUUCGGAGGAACACCAGUGGCGAAGGCGGCUCACUGGUCCAUUACUGACGCUGAGGUGCGAAAACGUGGGGAGCAAACAGGAUUAGAUACCCCCGUAGUCCCUGUCUCUUAUAC